rfam:Nicotiana attenuata strain TT chromosome 12, whole genome shotgun sequence.
AUAGCCGCGGUCGGCUGUUAACCGAUUGGUCGUAGGUUCGAAUCCUACU